rnacentral:lncRNA from 1 species
CACGUGGCCAGGGGCUGGCCAAUGACCAGGCCGCCCGGGAUGAGCUAAUAAUGGAAGCAAUUUGUAACUUUCAGUAGCUCUCUAGGCCUGGGUACCGGAGGGAGGGAGGCGGGCAGAGGAGGGGAGAUGGGCACCCCCAGUCUUUCCAUCCUCCUCAUUCGUCUAGGGGCACCCGAAUCCCCUAUUCCUUAUUUCCCCUAUCACUCAGGCACUGGCAGGGUCUUUUGCCCACUCCUGUUGGCCGCUGCGGCUCCAAAGCGAGAUGUGCCUGAGACAGGUUUGACCAGGCAACUGAAAAGACAUCCCUAAGAGAAGACAAAGCAAAGGUAUGAAAGGAACACACGUCCCUGACUGACUAGGAGGAACAGAGCUGCCUGCUAUCUGGAACAACUUCCUCCCAGACUAAGUGAGGCCCGGAGAGAAGAUAUGACUUGCUUAAGGUCACACACUUAGUUUCUCUGUCAAUCUUUCUAAAUCUAGGACGAGUUCUCUUCCCACUGUAUCAGGCUGCCUCAACAAACAGGGAAGUACAAAAAUAGCCAAAUCCAGGAAGGAGGGC